ACCUGAAUAAUACUUUGACAUUGAAACACAACAGCUAUACAUAACUAGGUGAAAGCAGACCUGACGCAACACACACACACACACAAUAAGCACACGCACACACACACACACACACACACACACACACACAAUAAGCACACUGUGGUAAGACUGUUUUGGGUUGCAUUUUGUCUGCAUUUAGCCAAUCUGUAACAAUCAGAAGAAUAAAAUACACAUCCAAACAUCUUGACCUUUCAACAAACAGCAAGAUGGAAAUGAACCUUGUGAAGGAAACAGCAACAUAAAGUGUUUUAAUAGGAGGUAACUGGCAGAAUAAAGGAAACUCCAGGUCCUCCACCAACCACCAGGUAACUGCCAGAAUAAAGGAAACUCCAACAUAGUGUUUUAAUAGGACGUCGGGUCCUCCACCAACCACCAGGUAACUGGCAGAAUAAAGGAAACUCCAACAGUGUUUUAAUAAGAGGUCGGGUCGUCCACCAGGUAACUGGCAGAAUAAAGGAAACUCCAACAGUGUUUUAAUAGGAGGUCGGGUCGUCCACCAGGUAACUGGCAGAAUAAAGGAAACUCCAGGUCCUCCACCAACCACCAGGUAACUGGGAGAAUAAAGGAAACUCCAACAGUGUUUUAAUAGGACGUCGGGUCCUCCACCAACCAGAACAGCUUUAAUACACCUUGACAUCGAUUCUACAAGUGUCUGGGAAGUCUAUCGGAGGGAUGAGACGCCAUUCUUCCACGAGGAAAUUCCAUCAUUUGGUGUUUUGUUGAUGGUAUUGAAGCCACCUUGCAGCCAUUUUGGCUCUCCUUAAUGAUGUGUAUAAACCCUGGAUGGCUGACAGGGGGGUGCUGUAUUGAAGCCACCGUGCAGCCAUUUUGGCUCUCCUUAAUGAUGUGUAUAAACCCUGGAUGGCUGACAGGGGGGGGGCUGUAUUGCAGCCAUUUUGGCUCUCCUUAAUGAUGUGUAUAAACCCUGGAUGGCUGACAGGGGGGUGCUGUAUUGAAGCCACCGUGCAGCCAUUUUGGCUCUCCUUAAUGAUGUGUAUAAACCCUGGAUGGCUGACAGGGGGGUGCUGUAUUGAAGCCACCGUGCAGCCAUUUUGGCUCUCCUUAAUGAUGUGUAUAAACCCUGGAUGGCUGACAGGGGGUGCUGUAUUGCAGCCAUUUUGGCUCUCCUUAAUGAUGUGUAUAAACCCUGGAUGGCUGACAGGGGGGUGCUGUAUUGAAGCCAUUUUGGCUCUCCUUAAUGAUGUGUAUAAACCCUGGAUGGCUGACAGGGGGGUGCUCUAUUGCAGCCAUUUUGUCUCUCCUUAAUGAUGUGUAUAAACCCUGGAUGGCUGACAGGGGGGGGGCUGUAUUGAAGCCACCGUGCAGCCAUUUUGGCGCUCCUCCAUUGUAAAUAAUAUGUUGGACGAUAUAGAAAUCCAUUUACUAAAUGUCAUUACAUUAAUUUCUGACAUGUUUAUUCCAUUAAGACACCGUAAUGUAUAAUUUUACAUAUGUGAGCUAAACUAAAAU
rnacentral:lncRNA from 1 species